rnacentral:rRNA from 1 species
UACGGGGGGGGCAAGCGUUAAUCGGAAUUACUGGGCGUAAAGCGUGCGCAGGCGGUUCGUUGUGUCUGUGGUGAAAGCCCCGGGCUUAACCUGGGAAUGGCCAUGGAAACUGGCGAGCUGGAGUGUGGCAGAGGGGGGUGGAAUUCCGCGUGUAGCAGUGAAAUGCGUAGAGAUGCGGAGGAACACCGAUGGCGAAGGCAGCCCCUGGGCUAACACUGACGCUCAGGCACGAAAGCGUGGGGAGCAAACAGG